rnacentral:rRNA from 1 species
AAGGCUUGACAUACACCGGACCGGGCCAGAGAUGGUCUUUCCCCCUUGUGGGGCUGGUGUACAGGUGGUGCAUGGUUGUCGUCAGCUCGUGUCGUGAGAUGUUGGGUUAAGUCCCGCAACGAGCGCAACCCUCGUUCUAUGUUGCCAGCACGUGAUGGUGGGGACUCAUAGGAGACUGCCGGGGUCAACUCGGAGGAAGGUGGGGAUGACGUCAAAUCAUCAUGCCCCUUAUGUCUUGGGCUUCACGCAUGCUACAAUGGCCAGUACAAUGGGUUGCGAUGCCGCGAGGUGGAGCUAAUCCCAAAAAGCUGGUCUCAGUUCGGAUCGUGGUCUGCAACUCGACCACGUGAAGUCGGAGUCGCUAGUAAUCGCAGAUCAGCAACGCUGCGGUGAAUACGUUCCCGGGCC